rnacentral:rRNA from 2 species
UACGAAGGGUGCAAGCGUUACUCGGAAUUACUGGGCGUAAAGCGUGCGUAGGUGGUUCGUUAAGUCUGAUGUGAAAGCCCUGGGCUCAACCUGGGAAUUGCAUUGGAUACUGGCGGGCUAGAGUGCGGUAGAGGAUGGCGGAAUUCCCGGUGUAGCAGUGAAAUGCGUAGAGAUCGGGAGGAACAUCCGUGGCGAAGGCGGCCAUCUGGACCAGCACUGACACUGAGGCACGAAAGCGUGGGGAGCAAACAGG